rnacentral:rRNA from 1 species
UCCUACGGGGCGCAGCAGUAGGGAAUAUUGCUCAAUGGGGGAAACCCUGAAGCAGCAACGCCGCGUGGGUGAAGGAGCGUUUCGGCGCGUAAAGCCCUAUCGGCAGGGAAGAAGAUGACGGUACCUGACCAAGAAGCCCCGGCUAACUACGUGCCAGCAGCCGCGGUAAUACGUAGGGGGCAAGCGUUAUCCGGAUUUACUGGGUGUAAAGGGGGCGCAGACGGCAAUGCAAGCCAGGAGUGAAAGCCCGGGGCCCAACCCCGGGACUGCUCUUGGAACUGCAUGGCUGGAGUACAGGAGGGGCG